AUACGUAGGGGGCAAGCGUUGUCCGGAUUUACUGGGUGUAAAGGGUGCGUAGGCGGGCGUUUAAGUCCGCGGUGAAAGUCUGCGGCUCAACCGUAGGAUUGCCGUGGAUACUGGACGUCUUGGAUUCGGUCGGGGCGGGCGGAAUGCGUGGUGUAGCGGUGAAAUGCAUAGAUAUCACGCAGAACGCCGAUAGCGAAGGCAGCUCGCCGGGCCGAAAUCGACGCUGAGGCACGAAAGCGUGGGGAUC
rnacentral:rRNA from 1 species